rnacentral:rRNA from 1 species
UACGAAGGGGCUAGCGUUGUUCGGAAUUACUGGGCGUAAAGGCGCGUAGGCGGUACUUCAAGUCAGGCGUGAAAGCCCCGGCUCAACCUGGGAACCGCGCUUGAGACUGGAGAACUAGAGUUCGGAGAGGAUGGUGGAAUUCCAGUGUAGAGGUGAAAUUCGUAGAUAUUGGGAAGAACACCGAUGGCGAAGGCAGCCAUCUGGACCGACACUGACGCUGAGGCGCGAAGCGUGGG